rnacentral:rRNA from 1 species
CCUACGGGUGGCAGCAGUGGGGAAUAUUGGACAAUGGGGGGAACCCUGAUCCAGCCAUGCCGCGUGUGUGAAGAAGGCCCUCGGGUUGUAAAGCACUUUCAGUGAGGAAGAACGCCUGGUGGUUAAUACCCAUCAGGAAAGACAUCACUCACAGAAGAAGCACCGGCUAACUCCGUGCCAGCAGCCGCGGUAAUACGGAGGGUGCGAGCGUUAAUCGGAAUUACUGGGCGUAAAGCGCGCGUAGGUGGCUUGAUAAGCCGGUUGUGAAAGCCCCGGGCUCAACCUGGGAACGGCAUCCGGAACUGUCAAGCUAGAGUGCAGGAGAGGAAGGUAGAAUUCCCGGUGUAGCGGUGAAAUGCGUAGAGAUCGGGAGGAAUACCAGUGGCGAAGGCGGCCUUCUGGACUGACACUGACACUGAGGUGCGAAAGCGUGGGUAGCAAACAGGAUUAGAUACACCUGUAGUC